rnacentral:rRNA from 1 species
GCUUAUGGCCAUACCACCCUGAGAAUGCCUGAUCUCGUCUGAUCUCGGAAGCUAAGCAGGGUCGGGCCUGGUUAGUACUUGGAUGGGAGACCGCCUGGGAAUACCCGGUGCUGUAAGCU